rnacentral:rRNA from 1 species
AGAGAGAGACAUGCGCGCAUAUCAAUAAGCGGAGGAAAAGAAACUAACAAGGAUUCCCUUAGUAACGGCGAGUGAGGCGGGAAGAGCUCAAAUUUGAAAUCUUCAAGGUUUUACCUUGACGAAUUGUAGUUUAAAGAAGUGUUUUCUGCUGAAGUUUUGGUAAAAGUUCUUUGGAAUAGGACAUCAUAGAGGGUGAGAAUCCCGUAUUUGACCAUUAUUUUCAGCUUUGUGAUACACUUUCAAAGAGUCGGAUUGUUUGGGAAUGCAGUCCAAAAUGGGUGGUAAAUUUCAUCUAAGGCUAAAUAUUGGCGAGAGACCGAUAGCGAACAAGUACCGUGAGGGAAAGAUGAAAAGAACUUUGAAAAGAGAGUUAAACAGUACGUGAAAUUGUCAAAAGGGAAGCGUUUGACACCAGUGUUGUUUUCUCGAAAAUCAAUUAAAAAUGGCUCGAUUUUAUAUUGCUUGAGACCUUAAAAGCUCACUGUACAUUUUUCGUGUCUUUUUUAAUGCACUUUUCGUUUAACAAGUCAACAUCAGUUUCUUUUGUUGUAAAAGGGUCAUUGGAAGGUGGCUUUCUUUUCGGAGAAAGUGUUUAUAGCCUUUGGCCUCUGCAAUCGAAGAGACUGAGGUCUGCAGCGUAGACUCUUCGGGGUUAGAUACAUUUGUGCUAAGUUAUAGGCUUUUUAUAGACAACUUGUUGACUAUAAUUAGUCUUGUAGCUUACUCGCUUAUGCUAUUUUACCUACGCUUAGGAUGUUGAAGAUGUAGCACAUCAU